CUAGUGGUCACCCACUUUAUAAUGUUUGUUACAAACCCAUUACAGACAAGCAUUAUGUUGUUUUGUUGCUAUAAUAUUGCUUCGGUACUUGAAUCCUGUACCCAACUCCCGAACGGAUUACUUAUACCGAUUCGUUAAACGAAUAACAGACCACCAAGUCCCUGGCGUGUGCCGCCACUUAACCCCAGUCACCUUUCAAACAACCGAAAACCCGACCACCCUGCGAGGGGAGUGUGUUACCACUUGAUCGCCCAGAGAGUUGCGGUCUGCGGUUAACCGCAGGCUAAUUGACGGCCUCCGGGCAUUCUCGUUCAU